GACGAACGCUGGCGGCGUGCUUAACACAUGCAAGUCGAACGGAAAGGCCCUGCUUUUGUGGGGUGCUCGAGUGGCGAACGGGUGAGUAACACGUGAGUAACCUGCCCUUGACUUUGGGAUAACUUCAGGAAACUGGGGCUAAUACCGGAUAGGAGCUCCUGCUGCAUGGUGGGGGUUGGAAAGUUUCGGCGGUUGGGGAUGGACUCGCGGCUUAUCAGCUUGUUGGUGGGGUAGUGGCUUACCAAGGCUUUGACGGGUAGCCGGCCUGAGAGGGUGACCGGCCACAUUGGGACUGAGGUACGGCACAGACUCCUACGGGAGGCAGCAGUGGGGAAUAUUGCACGAUGGGCGGAAGCCGGAUGCAGCAACGCCGCGUGCGGGAUGACGGCCUUCGGGUUGUAAACCGCUUUCGCCUGUGACGAAGCGUGAGUGACGGUAAUGGGUAAAGAAGCACCGGCUAACUACGUG
rnacentral:rRNA from 1 species